CGUAGGUGGCGGGACGGGUGAAGUAAUACAGUCCGGAACCGUUACCCCUAGGAAGGGUAGGGGAUUAACGUAGACGAAAGUUACGCUAAUACCGCAUAUUCUGUGAGCAGGAAAGAGGGGGAUCGCAAGACCUCUUGCUUUAGGAGCGGCCGAUGUCGGAUUAGCUAGUUGGUGAGGUAAAGGCUCACCAAGGCGACGAUCCGUAGCGGGUCUGAGAGGAUGAUCCGCCACACUGGGACUGAGACACGGCUCAGACUCCUACGGGAGGCAGCAGUGGGGAAUUUUGGACAAUGGGCGCAAGCCUGAUCCAGCCGUGCCGCGUGAGUGAAGAAGGCCUUCGGGUUGUAAAGCUCUUUCGGUGGGGAAGAAAUUGCUUCGGUUAAUACCUGGAGUAGAUGACGGUACCCGCAUAAGAAGCACCGGCUAACUACGUG
rnacentral:rRNA from 1 species